ACUCAUUUUAUUCAUAAAUUUUAAACACGUUUGACGUCGCUGGUUGGAGGCUAUGGAAAUUGGGUGGCGGGAGGAGGGCUUUCCCCACUGGUAUGCCAACUGUCUCUGUCUUCCUUUUCUUUUUCUUUUUCGUUUUUUUGGGUGGAGGGGGUGGUGCUCCGUUGAUUUAUCUAGCCACAUUUCUAAACAAAUAUUUUUGGCCCCUUCCGGGCAGCCGACGCCAGUGACCCAAGCAAAUUUGGCACGCAAUUAGGCAAGUUGGUUCUGAAUUUCUCGGCCACUCGGAAGCGAACGGCCAGCAUAAAUACAAAGUUUUUAUGGCAGCCACUUUGACGCCUCAUCCUCAUCCUAUGUCAGAAUAGGACUAAUAAAUUGAGUGCCACUUCUGACCAGGCCGAAACCCGUAGCCAGAAAAGAUAAAGUGCUGCAAGCUCCGUUCUGUGGGGCAACAAAAAUGUUUAUUUGUUUUCGGUUCAUCCAACACGAACCUCCGGGAUGUCAACACUGUUCAAAUAUGUGUCAAGUACCUGUCGAAAAACUGUUUGUUUAUAAGAUAAGCAAGAUCUAAAGGACUCUGGUGGAAAUAUGAAACAGAUGCCAAGGAAAUAUUGGCAAGUGUAAGGAGCAGUUCUCGAUGACUCCUCAAAGUAUGCAAGCGUUUGAAAAUAGUCGACACAUUUUGUGUUUGUAAAUACUCGAAAUGUACUUGUUCAAUUGAAACUCUGUCAACUUGGCUGUAUUUCAAUUUUAUUCUGUGACACUCACAUAUCAAUGGCAUAGGAAAACGGAAAAGGAAUAGCUCUAUAGCGCUCGUGGGUUCUUCAAAAAAAAUAAUUUGUAAGCUAAGCACAUUGCCAAAUACCACCUCAAGUUAUGCAAUACAAUUUUAGAUGAUUUUAAAUGAUUAUAAGAGACACAGAAUUGGAGUCUUACUCUUGAUGUCCAGUGCAUGUCUAACGAACUUGUCUCAUUACCAAGACUCUCUGUUUCAGCCAGGUUUAAAUUUCAGUUAGAAAGAAGAAGGAUGAGCUGGGAACUCGAUUUCAAAUUAAAACUAAAAGUGGGAUUGGCUGGCAUUUACUUGUUUCUGUCUUUGCAUGUUAAACCUGGGUUUUCGGUACAUAAAAGAGAACGUUCUGUUGCUCUGCAAAAACGAAGUAAGGACUGCACAUCAAUUUUGCAUUUCAUUCAUGAAGUCCUUUGAAUGCGAACCUUGCCUUUUUCGGAUUCUCCCCGCCAUGGCAGCACUUUGUGUGCGAUUUAUUAGAAAUUCCGUUUCCAAAGUGACCUGAAAUGGACUGCAUUCUUCCCUGGCCAAAACCGAAAUGGAAACGAGCAGCCUGCGAGGGGUUUUGGCCCACAAUCGAAUACGCAUUUGGAGCUGAAUCGAAAUCAAAAUUCCAAAUAUGAUGACUGAUUGCUAACCCCAGGCGAACAAACGGGUGCAGGUUGCUAGGCAGCCAGGUUGCCAGGUUGCCAGGUUGCCAGGUUGCCAGGUUGCCGUCAUCCUGUCAGUCUCCUCCAGCGGCUUUCGGCAAAUUGCAAGUCAGCAAAUGCAUCCUCGAUUCAUCCGAAGAGCACCGCCCCUUCAUUUGCCAUGGAUUUAUGCCAGGUUUGCUGGAUCCAACCCAGAUCAAUUUAAUGCAAAUCCCAUGCAAUUGGCUUUAAGAGCACACCGAAUAAAAUAAAUUGAAAUUGAACGCCCACAA